rnacentral:misc_RNA from 1 species
GAUGAAGAACGUAGCGAAAUGCGAUAAGUAAUGCGAAUUGCAGAAUUCAGUGAAUCAUCGAAUCUUUGAACGCACAUUGCGCCCCUUGGUAUUCCAUGGGGCAUGCCUGUUCGAGCGUCAUUUGUAAACUCAAGCUCUGCUUGGUGUUGGGUGCUUGUCUUGAUUGACUCGCCUUAAAGCUAUUGGCUAUUGGUACUAAUAGACCGAGCGCAGUACAACUCGCGCUUUGAUAUUAGCUGCCAUGGCCAUAAAUCUACAGUUUGACCUCGGAUCAGGUAGGGAUACCCGCUGAACUUAAGCAUAUCAAUAAGCGGAGGA